rnacentral:rRNA from 1 species
UAGUCCACGCCGUAAACGAUGAUUACUCGUUGUUGGCAAUACAUGGUCAGCGACUGAGCGAAAGCAUUAAGUAAUCCACCUGGGGAGUACGUUGGCAACAAUGAAACUCAAAGGAAUUGACGGGGGCCCGCACAAGCGGAGGAACAUGUGGUUUAAUUCGAUGAUACGCGAGGAACCUUACCUGGACUUAAAUGUAGGUUGACAGGACUAGAGAUAGUUUUUUCUUCGGACAAUUUACAAGGUGCUGCAUGGUUGUCGUCAGCUCGUGCCGUGAGGUGUCGGGUUAAGUCCCAUAACGAGCGCAACCCCUAUUCUUAGUUACCAGCACGUAGAGGUGGGGACUCUAAGAAGACUGCCUGGGUAACCAGAGAGGAAGGUGGGGAUGACGUCAAAUCAGCACGGCCCUUACGUCCAGGGCUACACACGUGUUACAAUGGUCGGUACAAAGGGCAGCUACCUGGCGACAGGAUGCUAAUCUCGAAAACCGGCCUCAGUUCGGAUCGGAGUCUGCAACUCGACU